rnacentral:rRNA from 1 species
GAUGAACGCUGGCGGCGUGCUUAACACAUGCAAGUCGAACGAAGCGUUUAAGACAGAAGCCUUCGGGUGGAAGAUUUAAAUGACUGAGUGGCGGACGGGUGAGUAACGCGUGGGCAACCUGCCUCAUACAAGGGGAUAACACCCAGAAAUGGGUGCUAAUACCGUAUAAGCUUACAGAAUCGCAUGAUUCAGUAAGAAAAACUCCGGUGGUAUGAGAUGGGCCCGCGUCUGAUUAGCUAGUUGGUAGGGUAAUGGCCUACCAAGGCGACGAUCAGUAGCCGACCUGAGAGGGUGACCGGCCACAUUGGGACUGAGACACGGCCCAAACUCCUACGGGAGGCAGCAGUGGGGAAUAUUGCACAAUGGGCGCAAGCCUGAUGCAGCCAUGCCGCGUGUGUGAAGAAGGCCUUAGGGUUGUAAAGCACUUUCAGCGGGGAGGAAGGGUAUAGGCUUAAUACGUUUAUACAUUGACGUUACCCGCAGAAGAAGCACCGGCUAACUCCGUGCCAGCAGCCGCGGUAACAC